rnacentral:rRNA from 1 species
UACGUAGGUGGCAAGCGUUGUCCGGAUUUACUGGGCGUAAAGCGCGCGCAGGCGGGCUGGUCAGUCCGGGGUGAAAUCUCACGGCUCAACCGUGAGCGGUCCCCGGAUACUGCCAGUCUUGAGGUGUCUAGAGGAGAGCGGAAUUCCCGGUGUAGAGGUGAAAUUCGUAGAUAUCGGGAGGAACACCGGUGGCGAAGGCGGCGACCUGGGACGAUACUGACGCUGAGGUGCGAAAGCGUGGGGAGCAAACAGG